UAGAAUUCCGACUUUUGAACAGGAGCAGCAAGAAGUAGAUUUUCUGGUUCCUCAAAGUUCCAAUCUUUAGAAAGAGAGGGAGAGAUCACAGGCCCUCAAAAGUAAAAUGUUACAGAAGGGUGAGGAAUUUUUUAACUGGGAAAUGGUAUGCUUCCUGAUUCCUCUGUGCUUUUAGAGAGAGGCAGGGUGAGAAAUAACAAUAAAAAGAAGUAUGCCUACUUCUUCAAAAUUUGGGCUUUUAUCAUCUUCUUAUCAGCAGAGGUGCGUUCUUGACCUUCUCAGUUCAUGGACACAUUCUCUAGAGCUUCUUAAUGUCUGUAAUUCCAAUUUCAACGCCCUAAUUUUAUUUAGAAGCAGGCGUUUUUCUUCCACUUUUUCACCACAAAAUGAGGUUGAAAUCUCAGAAGAACCCUUUAACCAUUCGGGUUCUUCUUCAGUUAUCAAAGACAAUCAAAUAGAAACAGUUUACAAGAUUAUAAACACCCAAGCUCGAGAUGGAUAUGAAAUGGCUGAGCUAUUAGAGAAAGCUGGUGUUUCUCUGUCUACUGAAUUGAUUGAUGGAGUUUUAAAGAGGGUGAGGUUUAGCCAUGGAAGUGGGUCUCAGGCCUUCGAGUUCUUUUGCCUUAUGGCUCGACAACGCGGCUUUUUUCACAGUUCGUAUUCAUAUGACACAAUGCUUUACAUACUGGGAAGAGAGCGCAAGUUUGAGAAAGUUUGGGGUUUACUGAGAGAAAUGCGCAUAAAAGACCAAUCUUUGAUCACCCCAAGAACCCUCCAAAUUGUUUUAGCUAGAAUUGCUAAGGCUUGCUCAGUUAGACAAACAGUAGAGAGCUUUACAAGGAUUCUAAGGUACUCUAAGCACCUCGACUCUACUGAUAGUUUCAAUGCUUUGCUUAGAACUUUGUGUCAAGAAAAGAGCAUGGGCGAUGCUCGAAAUGUAUAUCAUAGCUUGAAGCGCUCAUUCAGGCCUAAUAUUCUGACUUUUAACAUCCUUUUAUCGGGUUGGAAAACACCCCAAGAAGCCGAAAGCUUCUUUGGAGAGAUGAUAGAAUUGGGUUGUAAACCCGAUUUGGUUUCUUAUAAUUGCUUGGUUGAUGCACUAUGUAAGGGUCGAGAAUUAGAUAAGGCCCUUAAGAUUGUUCAGAUGAUGAGAGAGAAAGAGAUUUACCCUGAUGUAAUGACUUAUACUAGUAUAAUUGGGGGUUUAGGCUUGAUGGGUCAGCCUGAUAAAGCUUGUGAAGUCCUUAAGGAGAUGAGGGAACAUGGUUGUUACCCUGAUACCCCUGCUUAUAAUGCAGCUAUAAGAAACUUUUGCAUAGCUCGAAGAUUAGGCGAUGCUUAUAGGUCAAUGGAUGAGAUGGUGAUGAAAGGUCUAAGUCCGAACCCCACAACUUAUAACUUAUUUUUUCGGUGUUUUUAUCAGUCUAAUGAUCUCUCUAGUGCAUGGAGCAUGUAUCAGAGGAUGAUGGAGACUGGUUGCUUGCCAAAUACUCAGACGUGUAUGUUUCUUAUAAAGUUGUUUAAGAGGCAAGAGAAGCUGGAAAUGAGUCUUAGACUGUGGAAUGACAUGGUUGAGAGAGGUUUCGGUUCGUAUACUCUUGUUUCUGAUAUUCUCUUUGAUAUGUUGUGUGAUCUUGGGAAGCUAAUUGAAGUGGAGAAAUGUUUCUUGCAAAUGAUUGACAAGGGGCAGAAGCCUAGCAAUGCUGCGUUUAAGAGGAUUAAGGUUCUAAUGGAACUUGCAAACAGGCAAGAGGCUAUUACUUAUCUCUCGAAGAAAAUGGAGGCUUUUGCCUUUUCCCCACAGUUGAAAGAAUAGUUUUGUUAAGAACACUGGUGCCAACAUAGGGCUGCUUCAUCUGUUUUUUGUGAUUUUAUGUAUAUUGUCAAGUAUUUGAGUUGGAUAUGGUCCCCAGUUUUUAAAUCUUUGUGCUUUUUGGAUGGUAUUGGUGUUUCUUGAAAAUUUGGGGAACAUCAAUACUCAUGCCAAAAGGCUCCAUUCAACAUCCACGGGGCUUCUCACGAGUUUUUUCUGUAAAUUGUUGAGACAAUCAUUUCUGCGAAAGUGCUCUUUUUAAGGUCUUCGAUAUCGAUGUAAACUGGCUUAUGCACAAGGCAUUUGAUGGUCAGAGGCGACGAGUGCAAAUCUGCAUGGGCAUCCUCAAGCCAUUUAAGGUUUUUAUCUCUCCUCUCAUCUAUGAUCUAGAUGAACUUCAACCACUUUUUCUUCUCAAACUUUUUGUAAAUAAAAUAUUGUGUUCAUCUCUAGGAGUAUGCAUACCAUGUUUACAUAUUUAUAGAACACUGAGCAUAAUGUAGUUGUUGUAGGUACUUCUUCUUGAAGAGAUCACUGUUGAUCUAGACGUGCUUGCAAGGCCCGACCUGCUGAAGUUCCUCAAGAGGGAGUGUGAAGAGAAAGGCACUACCAUUAUAUAUGCAAUACAUAUAUUUGAUGGCCUUGAAGAUUGGCCUUCACAUAUUGUAUGCUUAUUAUUUAUCUCAUCUUGGUCCGUAAGUUGUGUGCAUGUGCUUGUGUAUAUUUCAUAAUUCCUACUUCCAUGAUACCGAUCACUGAACUUCCAGGUAUAUGUUGCCCAAGGAGAACUGCAGUUAGCAUCAUCACCCAUGGAGAAAGUUAAGGAAAUGAGCAAUCUUUCAUUGAUGGUUUGUACUUUU